rnacentral:piRNA from 1 species
UAAUUGAGCUACAUACCAGGG